GCUCCAUACCCCCUACGGUUGAUUGAGGGAAAAUAUAGGCUGUAACAGUCUAUAGCUGUUUGUGUUUUAUGGACCAAGCGGAGCUGUCAAAUCUUCGACUUGUCCGGUUUUUUACAGAAGCAACUGCCUGUAUGACGCUCAAACCAGCCCAAUACAGGUUAGGCCACAUGCCUAGGUAAGUAUUACAAAAAAUCAAUUUAAAUUUUAUUGCUAAGUAGGUAUGUUGAGUAAUAAAAAAGGCUUGCAUGUGGAAAGAACCAACUAACACCACGCUAU
rnacentral:misc_RNA from 1 species